rnacentral:rRNA from 1 species
CCUACGGGUGGCUGCAGUGGGGAAUAUUGCACAAUGGGCGCAAGCCUGAUGCAGCCAUGCCGCGUGUGUGAAGAAGGCCUUCGGGUUGUAAAGCACUUUCAGCGGGGAGGAGGGCGUUAAGGUUAAUAACCUUGUCGAUUGACGUUACCCGCAGAAGAAGCACCGGCUAACUCCGUGCCAGCAGCCGCGGUAAUACGGAGGGUGCAAGCGUUAAUCGGAAUUACUGGGCGUAAAGCGCACGCAGGCGGUCUGUCAAGUCGGAUGUGAAAUCCCCGGGCUCAACCUGGGAACUGCAUUCGAAACUGGCAGGGUAGAGUCGUGUAGAGGGGGGUAGAAUUCCAGGUGUAGCGGGGAAACGCGUAGAGAUCUGGAGGAAUACCGGUGGCGAAGGCGGCCCCCUGGACAAAGACUGACGCUCAGGUGCGAAAGCGUGGGGAGCAAACAGGAUUAGAUACCCGAGGAGUC